UGGGGAAUAUUGGACAAUGGGGGGAACCCUGAUCCAGCUAUGCCGCGUGGAUGAAGAAGGCCCUAGGGUUGUAAAGUCCUUUCGUUGGUGAAGAUAAUGACGGUAACCAAAGAAGAAGCCCCGGCUAAUUUCGUGCCAGCAGCCGCGGUAAUACGAAAGGGGCUAGCGUUGUUCGGUAUUACUGGGCGUAAAGCGCAUGUAGGCGGCCUUGUAAGAUGGGGGUGAAAUCCCUGGGCUCAACCCAGGAACUGCCUUCAUGACUGCAAAGCUUGAGGAUGUGAGAGGUUGGCGGAAUUCCGAGUGUAGAGGUGAAAUUCGUAGAUAUUCGGAAGAACACCAGUGGCGAAGGCGGCCAACUGGCACAUUUCUGACGCUGAGGUGCGAAAGCGUGGGGAGCAAACAGGAUUAGAUACCCUCGUAGUCCCUGAGCGGGCUGGCAAGGCGCAU
rnacentral:rRNA from 1 species